GAACUGAGUUCCUCGUUGGACCAUUGGGAUGGAAGUCAGCUUUUUGACCUUGCACCAAUUACUGCAAUUUGGUGAGUUUGGGAUGAACAUUUAAGACGGAAGCCAGCUGUGUAACUUUGGUCGAAUUAACAGGAGACUGUCAGUAGGUGAAGGUGAGUUCUAGUCCUCAAUAGUCAAGGUAAGUUCUUCUGCUCUUAUUUGAAAGACCGCAGAGGAGUGAUCUUACACCAAUUCUCCCAGGAUAAGGUGAGUUCUAGUCCUACAAAAGCACAUUGAGUUCUUUUCCUGCAAAAUAAACAAUACUUGUCUGAAUUUAACCUAUUUCAAUCACCAGGGGAACGUGAGUCCUCGUUGGACCAUUAGGAUGGAAGUCAGCUUUUUGACCUUGUGCCAAUUACUGCAAUUUGGUGAGUUUGAGAUGAACAUUUACGACGGAAGCAAGCUGUGUGAGUUUGGUCGAAUUAACAGGAAACAUAAUUAGGAGAAGGUGAGUUCUAGUCCUCUAAUAGUCAAGGUAAAUUCUCGUCCUCCAAUUUGAAUGACAGGAAGAGGAGUGAUCUUGUCAAUUCUCUCAGGAUAAGGUGAGUUCUAGUCCUAUGAAAGCACAUUGAGUUCUUUUCCUACAAAAUACAUUCUACUUCCCUGAGUUUACUUUGUUCCAAUCACCAGGAGUUUGUGAUUUCUAGUCGAACCAUUGGGAUGGAAGUCAGCUGCUUGACAGACAAUGGAUUGAUCCUAAUAUGCCAAUUCACCCAGGAAAGUGUGAGUUGUAGUUGAACCAUGAAAAACAGCUAUGUGACCUUGGCCUAUAACUAAUAGAAUGUGUCCUCCUGUCCUGCAAUAAGAUUCUAUGUUCUCCUCUUUAAAUAUUAAAAAAAGACAUGUGAUUGACUUUGGACCAAUCAGCAGGAGAUGGUGAGUUUUUUUGUCCUCCGAUAUGAAUGAAAGCCAGUGGAGUGAUCUUAUGCCAAUUCCCCCAGGAAAAGGUGAGUUCUUGUCUACAAAAGCACAUUGAACUUGUUUUCCUGCAAAAUACAUAAUACUUUUCUGAGUUUACUUUACUUUAUUCCAAUCACCAGGAGUUUGUGAUUUCUAGUCGAAACAUUGGGAUGGAAGGCAGCUGCUUGACCUUUGACCAAUCACCAGCAUACAGUGAGUUCACUUCAAAAGUUUGGAACUGAAACCAACUCGAUGACUUUUUCAAAAUCAGCAGGAGAUGUUGAAUUCUAGUCUGGCAUAGACACAGUAAGUUCUCAUCCUCCAAUGUGAAUGACAGAGUGAUGUGACCUUACAUCAAUUCUCCCAGAAAAGGUGAGUUCAAGUCUGCAAAAGCAGAUUGAGUUCUUUUCCUGCAAAAUAAUACUUGUCUGAGUUGACUUUAUUCCAAUCAUCAGGAGAUGGUGACUUCUGGUCGAAUCAUUGGGAUGGAAGCCAGCUUUUUAACCUUGCUUCAAUCAUCAAGUAAUGAUGGUGUAGUUCCAGUCAAGCAUUUGGGAUGGAAGCCAGUUGCUUCACUUUGAACCAAUCAUCAGGAGACAGUGAGUCUGAGUGGAACCAGGCAGCUAAUUCACCUUGGACCAAUCACCAGGGGAUGGCAUGGUAACUUCUAGUCCUCCAAAGAUGAAUGACAUUUAGCAGAGUGAUCUUGAGGCAAUCACCAGAAGAAUGUGAGUUUCGUCCUGCAGAAGGCAUGACAGAUUGCUGAGUGACUUUUAUCCAAUAGACAAAGCAGAAUUCUCUCAAUUUGGGGCCUUCAGUCCUAGGAAGAGGGCAAUAGCAAACCACUAUUUAAAAAACUCACCAAGAAAACUGUCAGGACUUAAUAGGAGAAACUCUACCCCUACUUUGAGGGUCUGCCCCAACUGGAGGGCUCCACCUUCUCAUCUGCCAGGCAGAAAGCCAGCUCAGUGACCUUCAAGCAGUCACUCUCUCACCACUCUCAGAAGAAGACAAUGGCAAACCACUUCUCAAACACCUUGCUAAGGAAAGUACUUGUUCAGAUAGUCUCUGUGAAUUGGUCCUGAUUGAAUGCAAGAAAAAAAAAGCAAUGGUUGACGAAGACGGAAGGGCCCCUCCUCACGAUGUCCAAGGCAUCGUGUCCUGGUUAGGACCACAGUGAAGAUGGGCAGAAGAUGGCCUUCAAGCAAACCAAUGUCCCCUGUUGCAUGAUAUGAAGUCAACGGCUGAAAUGGGACCCAAGUUAUUUAACUGGGUGAUUGCUAAAUGAGACACAACCAAUUGAUGCUGUGUUGUACCAACCAACAAGUGUAGAAUUCCCACAACCCACAAAUCAAAACCAAACAACUCUGGACAUGCUUGUUGGGAAUUCCAUGCAAGGCAGCUAAUGGGUGUAGGCCUAGAGGGCUGGGUUGCUGCCCAGUGGGUUGGACACAGCUUGAGCUGGGUCAGGAUGAGGACCUGACAAUUGGCCCCUGUCUUCUUCUGGACAGGAUGUCCAGACAUCCUGCCCCAGUGAAGAAGAACGAAGGGAGACCUGUUUAAAUUAAUUAAUUAAUUAACAACCAGUUGUAGUUUCUCAAUUAAUUAAUGACCGCUUGUAAUUUCUACAUUAAUUAAUUGACCACUUGUAGUUUCUACAUUAAUUAAUUAAUGAUAAGUUUUGAAGAACUUAAAAGCUAAAACAAUUUCUUAUUCUUCUAAAUAUAUCUGUGAUUCUAUCCAAUAUCACAGAUAAAAGUCAGGAGAAUGACCAAGUGUUUCUUUGAUAAUGCAUCAAAAUCUCACCAGAAAAUAAGAGAUAUAUUUCAGAGAGACGAGUUGAAAAACUGUUUGAUAUUGUACAAACUGUGUUUUAUAUACCAGAUCCUCUUGCAUCUUAUCCAUUUAAACUGCCUGGCUGAUAAGGAAUGAAAAGUUGUACAAUAAAACACUGCUAGCAUCAAAUUUCUGGUA